rnacentral:rRNA from 1 species
UACAGAGGUCUCAAGCGUUGUUCGGAUUCAUUGGGCGUAAAGGGUGCGUAGGCGGCGCGGUAAGUCGGGUGUGAAAUCUCGGAGCUUAACUCCGAAACUGCAUUCGAUACUGCCGUGCUUGAGGACUGGAGAGGAGACUGGAAUUUACGGUGUAGCGGUGAAAUGCGUAGAUAUCGUAAGGAAGACCAGUGGCGAAGGCGGCUCGCUGGGCCUUACCUGACGCUGAGGAGCGAAAGCGUGGGUAGCGAACAGG